UGUCCUCCAUGACAGCCUUGAGAGGUGUGGCAUUUUCUCCUUUUCUAGAUAAGGAAUGGGAGACUCAGAAAGGGCGAGCUGCUCGCCCCGGGCUUGAGCUCUGCUUCACGUGGUUCUGCUGACUCAGUGACUCUGUGGAACAAUGUGUCAGAGGGAGCUUUGAGUAUGAAGAGUGGGGUGUGCGUGUGUGUGCGUGUGUGUGUUAUGUGCACGUGUGUGGGCUCGUCUGCCUGUCCGAUGGACAGCAGUGCCUUCCCUUGCCUGUCCCUGUCCUCUUUCCUUCUCAUCUCUUCCCAAUCCUCCAGUCGCCUGGCUUCCAUACCUCCUGCCUCUCUUGAGCCAAGGGGUCUGGGAGCAGGGCAAUACUGUUUCAUCAGCUAUCUCCAGAGGAGCAGCCUUUCCAUUCCCAAGGCAGCUGGACCCCCUGAGCCCUACUGUCCAUCCAUCCACGCCGCGCAACCGUAGCCCGGCUCCAGGGCCUGCUGCGCGCAGACUGGCUCCCGGUAGCCAUCCACAGUACCCCGGGGACAGGAGCUUGCUCCCUCACCAUCUCCUCCCUGCCACCGUGGCGCUUCCGUGUGGGUGCCAGUGGCCGCCUUGGGAAACAGAUUCAGUUCCCGAGCAGUUAACAAGAACCGCCACCAUGUUCCUGUUGCUCUUCUCUGCCAGGCACUUGACGUAUGUUCCAGUCCUUGCAACAGUCCCGUGGGGUUGGCAUCACGAGCCCCGUUUUUACAGAUGAGGACCCUGAGGCUUCAAGAGGGGCAAUAGCAUGCCUGGGCACAUAGCCUGGAAGCACUUGCAGAGCUGGUGUUGGAACCCAGGGAAGAGGAGGAGGAGGAGGAGACUGAGGAAGAGGAAGAGGAAGACGCUCAUCAGUUCUGCUGUCCGGCCUCCGAGUGCAGUAGUCCCUCCUCUCGGUAACUGAGAGGACAAGGGUCAUUUUCUAUGCAGAAGCAAAAGCCUUAACCAGCCCCCCCAGCCCGCGAUCCCCCAUGGGACCCUGUCCCUGCUUCAGGAUGGGCAAGCAUCGUGCCCCUUCCUCCCCCACCUCCUUGGAAUUCCCACACCCUCCCCCCGCCCCACUGCUGUCUCCCCUGGACUUCAGCCACCAAUUAUAAAGGCUGGAGCCCUAGGUCUGACUAAAAUGUGGGAGCAGCAGAGCUUGGAGCUUGGAACCUGGACCCUCCUGCACCCGCACCCCACUUCCCAGGCACCCUGGAGCCUGCCACUCCUGGAGAGGUCUCCAAAUGACAUCCCAAGGACCUACCUCUGUCCUCUGUGAGCACAAACAGAGAUGCAGGGUGCCUAGGGCUCAGAGGACCAGACGGGGGCGGGACCCGGCCUGCCUAGUUCCCCGUUGCUCGUUCCCUCGCUGUGGCCAUUGCUGCCAUCCCCUCUGCUGCUUGAAGGCCUCGUCCCAUGCCCCCUGCCACUCCCACAGCGCUCUGUAAGUGUGGUCAGGAGGAAAAGGCCUUUCAGAGUGCGCGUGUCGCUGUGUACAAAGGAAUUGCCAUCAAUAAAAGCUGAUCUCUUC